rnacentral:tRNA from 49 species
GGCGGAGUAGCUCAGUAGGUUAGAGCAGAGGAAUCAUAAUCCUUGUGUCGGGGGUUCAAAUCCCUCCUCCGCUACCA